ACGCUCGACACCUACGGGAGCAGCAGUGGGGAAUAUUGCACAAUGGGGGAAACCCUGAUGCAGCGACGCCGCGUGAGCGAAGAAGUAUUUCGGUAUGUAAAGCUCUAUCAGCAGGGAAGAAACUGACGGUACCUGACUAAGAAGCACCGGCUAAAUACGUGCUAGCAGCCGCGGUAAUCUGAGGCGGGCUGGCAAGGC
rnacentral:rRNA from 1 species